rnacentral:tRNA from 1 species
GCAUUGGUGGUUGAGUGGUAGAAUUAUUCCAUGUGGGAUACCCAGGUUCAAUUCCUAGCCAAUGCC